GUGCUAUGGCAGCACAUAUACUAAAAUUGGAAAGAUACAGAGAAGAUGAGCAUGGCCCCUGUGCAAGAAUGAGCAUUUCUACACAGCAGAAAGCCUAAAAAGG
ensembl:snRNA U6 U6 spliceosomal RNA